rnacentral:rRNA from 1 species
AACGAACGCUGGCGGCAUGCCUAAUACAUGCAAGUCGAACGAGAUCUUCGGAUCUAGUGGCGCACGGGUGCGUAACGCGUGGGAAUCUACCCUUGGGUUCGGAAUAACAGUUAGAAAUGACUGCUAAUACCGGAUGACGACGUAAGUCCAAAGAUUUAUCGCCCAAGGAUGAGCCCGCGUAAGAUUAGCUAGUUGGUGAGGUAAAGGCUCACCAAGGCUACGAUCUUUAGCUGGUCUGAGAGGAUGAUCAGCCACACUGGGACUGAGACACGGCCCAGACUCCUACGGGAGGCAGCAGUAGGGAAUAUUGGACAAUGGGCGAAAGCCUGAUCCAGCAAUGCCGCGUGAGUGAUGAAGGCCUUAGGGUUGUAAAGCUCUUUUACCCGAGAUGAUAAUGACAGUAUCGGGAGAAUAAGCUCCGGCUAACUCCGUG